CACAAAUAGGCACUUUAACUAUCCAACCUUUUAAUAGAUAAACACGCGAGUCCUACCUGGCAAAAUGCGUGAUAUGCACGAAUUCUGCGCGAGUUGGGAGUUAUUUUCGAGGCCCACAACGGUAAAAAAAUGCUGAAAUGACAAUUCUACCCUUAAUGAAUCCCUUUUAUAUAUAUUUCUUUAUAUUUCCAAAUCAAAAUCUCAUUUCUCUUUUCCUCCUCUUUCAAACCAAGUUUUUUCCUCUCUUUAAAACGAUUUGUGCUCAUAUUUAGUGCAAAUGGAUUCUAAUUUUUUUUGUCAUUGUGGAAAAAGAGCUAUAAUGAAGAUUUCUUGGUCUGCAAACAAUCCAGGUCGUUGGUUUCUUGGAUGUGAAGAUGGUCGGGUAUGGUUUCAUUUAAAACAUCUUUUUUGGUUUAAAUUUUAGUUCUCAAGAUUCAAUUUUGAUAGUGAAUUUGUUCUUCUUAAACAGGUUGGAUGCAAGUUUUUUAGGUGGUGUGAACUUGAUUAUACUGAACACGCUAGAAUUGCUAUUUCGGGAUUACAAAAGAGGAUAAAAAAACAUGAUGAAGAAAAGGAAAAGAUUAGGAGGAAAUAUCGAGUUUUGUUGAUCAUUGUGAUACUAUCUUGGAUUUAUAGAGAGUUCUUUAUGUAGUAAAUGUUAUGUAGAUUGGUUGAAAAAGUUAUGCCAGAAUCGUUUUGUUCAUAAAGUAGUUUUCUUUAUGGGUUAGUGGCUACCGCUAUCUAUUGUAAGCAAUCAAAAUAAUGGAUGUGAAAUGCACUAUUUUAGAGUUGGCAAAAGUUUGUCUCUCAACAUUAGUUUUAAUAUUCAUCACUUUUACAACUUACAAGGACAUUACUUAGCAUGAUUCAUACACUUUCAUACUAGCAUGAUUCACACACUUUCAUACAUAGUAAACACCUAACAUCAAGGCAGCCUAACAUCAAUCAUAACAAACACCAAAAGACUUCACAAAACAUAACUUAAUAUCCAUUAAACUAGGACAACUAAAUACCCUCCAAAGAUUUGUCUAUGCAAACAUACAUCAAAAUAACCCAAAAUACAUCAAAAUGAUUAGUAAUUGCAGUAUGCCUUUACAAACAUUUAUCAAAAUAAACAAAAACAAAGACCUCCUAGAUCAACAUUUAUACACAUCAUUAACACUUUAAACUCUUAUGGAACCCACUUGCCCUUGGAUUUGCUUUGCACCUUUUUCUUUGACAAUUGUUGAAGUUGAUUUCUAGUCAUUGCAUCUUUUCCUUUCCAUUUCAAACCAGGUGGCUUGAAUCCAAGAUCAACAUUUGUUUGUGAUGCAUCUUUAAAUGCUAUCCCUGUUCCACUUGAGAUAACCCUUUCACUUGAUCUUCCUGGCUAC
rnacentral:lncRNA from 1 species